GGGUCAGUAGGUUGGUCGUGCCACCGGUACGUACUGGUCUCACUGAUUCCUCCUUCCUGAAGAACCGUAAUGCCACUAAUUUGGUGUUGCGGGGGAACAGGACUGUUACUUUGAAAAAAUUAGAGUGUUUAAAGCAAGCUAACGCUUGAAUACAUUAGCAUGGAAUAAUGAAAUAGGACGAUCGAUCCUAUUUUGUUGGUUUCUAGGAUUGACGUA
rnacentral:rRNA from 1 species